UACGAAGGGGGCUAGCGUUGCUCGGAAUUACUGGGCGUAAAGGGCGCGUAGGCGGCACUGUUAGUCAGGCGUGAAAGUCCUGGGCUCAACCUGGGAACUGCGCUUGAUACGGCAGAGCUAGAGGAUGGAAGAGGGUCGCGGAAUUCCCAGUGUAGAGGUGAAAUUCGUAGAUAUUGGGAAGAACACCGGUGGCGAAGGCGGCGACCUGGUCCAUUACUGACGCUGAGACGCGAAAGCGUGGGGAGCGAACAGG
rnacentral:rRNA from 1 species